rnacentral:ribozyme from 1 species
AAAAAGAGAAUGAAUGUAUAGAUGGAUCAGCAAAUGACACGGAGAUGGUAUCAAAGACUUAAAUAUGUAUAUAAAGAAUGUUAUUUUUUUUUUUUUUUUUUUUUU